GGACCUACAAGAUCAUUUAGUCCAACCAUCCUUCCUUUACCAUACCUACAGAAAAAACAGGGGCAGGGAGGUCUCUCACUUCUCAGUUGCCACUUUGGGUAAAGGUUCUGGAGUGGGUCAUAAAGAGAAUAUGCCAGUAACUCUUUGGGGAGAUCUCAUUAUGCUGUUAAUUGAACCAAGCAGAAGCUCUAAGAAGCUCAGAUAUUGAGGAAAAGCCAUGAAGAAUAUAUGUGCCACAGAAAGUCACAGUAUGACACAUGUAGGUUGAAAGCUCUUGAAGACCCUCAAGGCUGGAGGGAAGGGCCCACCAUGUGUAUUUGUUUCUGGGAAAAGGAAAACUGAGCUAUUUCUCUCACACAAUCCAUUGUUAUCUGAGUUGAUUGCACCCAGCAUUUGGGAAGCCUCAGAGCCAGCUCCCAAAGCUGUGCUGUCUGUAUCAUCCCUGCUCUUGCUUGUGUCAGACACUGGGAAAAAGGGUGCCAAAUGCUUCCAAGCUGAAUUUAUGGCUGGGGAGGCCCCUGCUCAAAGGUCCUGUGAGGAAUUCCCAGGCUGACAGGAGAGCUGAUGGCCUUUGACACAUUGCUUAGUUUCUUCUUUGGCAUGCAAGUAUCCUUGUCGGUGAGAGAAAGAGAUAGCUGGGUAAGGGUCACCUCAUUUUUCUGCUCUUCAUCUUCAGGAAUUGGCUGCAGGCUGCUGUGAGAUGCAAGUUACACUGCAGCCUCGUGCAGAUACUGUAAGGGGAGUCCUGUGGUCUUGCAGAAUUCCUGGGAUAACUGCUGAGAGCUCUGCACCUCGUGCUACAGAUCACGCUGCCUGUCCUCUGAGCAUGGGGCAGUGUAGCUCUACAGCUUGCUAGAUCAAGGCAGCGAGUUUCUCAAGUUUCAGAUGCCUCCCCACUCCUUUUAUUUAGCCUUUACAUGCCCUUCUCAAGGUCUCAUUUCAUUCCACCAACGUGAUAGGGCUGGAAGGACUGCACAGGAGUUUGGCUGUGCUGAGCACGCAACAGGAACAACUACUGCACAGAAGGCUGUGCUUACUCUCAGUGAGACCAUAUAUCCUGUGUCUCUAGCAUCCCUAUAACUUUAGCAGACCAGUCCAACAGCUUACCAUGUGAGUGCAGUUUUAACUUGUGUAUUAUCACCUUGGUGUCCCAUACAUCUCCUGCCCUUUGCUCCCUGCUGAGAUGAGAAUAGUGAGUGCAUUAAGGAGACCAAGUCAUAUGUGAGGCCUGUAGAGCUAUUUUGUCAAGAGGUUACUUUGGAUGAGUUCCUCUGUUGAGAGUUACUUUGGAUGUUUUCUACAGGGAACAUAAAGCCCUGUGCAUAGCAGGCACAGCAUCAUUAAUUUUGGUUCCCUUCACCUGAAUUAACUUUUCUUGUUGCUGCCCUUUCACUGCUUGCUCUCGUGAAGUCCUCACAGGAUUUCAUUUAGGUGGUUGAGGUUGCAGAUGAGCUAUAGGUCCUCUGUGGCUCGACCAAUGAACUGUCAUGCAAGUGAGAAUUGUGCUGCUUCUUUCUUUCCCUUCCCAGUGCUGUGCUCUCCCCGCAACAAGUUCAGCUUCCGCUGGCACGAGAUCCACUUACAAGCUUUGAAACUGGAUUCCCUGACUGGUGGUGACCCAUGCAACGUGCAAUGGCUGGUGCAGCAGAUUAAUUUACCACUCACCUGUUUGCACAUCAAUUGCUUUGCCACUUGGAAUGGAAACUGACAAUGAAUGUUUCUGAAUGAAGCAGAUUUCACUUUCGACAAAGAAAACAGGACUGUUGUGAGCCGAGCACUCACAGUGCAGGCCAGACUUGUAAGAUAGCCAGCUGAGCACGGCCGACGAAAGACCCAUCUGCUCCACCACGUGUACAUGGGUAAAAUAAAACACACUCUGCUGUCACUGUCAACAAGGGUAAUUUAUCGUUAUGACCAAGACAGCCAGGAAAGUGCCUUUUUGUUUUCUUGGAAAACAUACACUGCACUGCAAUACUGGUGAGUGCCAGAAGCAUUGCUUUUAUUAGGCUUUUUGAAAGAGUUUUUGGGAGUUGUUUUUUGUUUUUUAUCCUUAAGAAAAGCUUAUACUUCACAAUGAAGCAGUGGUUUAUAUGUUUACUGGAGCUUCUGGCACACUGCAAUCGAUCACUGAACUUAAAAGUUUAAUAGUGUUCUAUAGAAGCUCUUGAGCAACAGAGGAGGGAACUGCAUGUGCAAGUUGAUGAGCUCCACCAUUUGGGUUUGUCCAACUCUUCUUGGACUUUUCUUCUUUUCCCAAACCCCAAACUCCCCGCAGAAUGCUUUGCCAAGGCUGCCAUCAAUGCAAGAAACUGGACUGUGUAUUCUGGUGUUAUGCAGUGUGAAAAUUGUUACAGUCUUCACUUACCAGAAUUACCAGCUAAAUCAUGGACAAGUAGGAUUAAGUAGCUCAAGAGCUGUACAUAAAACAAGCUGCGUGUGUACUGAAUAGAUUAAAAGCUGAUGGAUGCAACAUCCGGAACUAUAUGUGUUUCUGGCAUGAGACCAGCUAAUAGUGCAAAAUGGAUUUUGUACCUGUUGAUGCAAGAAAUAAGACAACUCAGUUCCUAGGCUGGGAAAAAAGAAAUGACCAUGUAGCACUAUCAGAAAGCAAUGCUUAUUGUUGGAAACUUGCUUGUCUAUACACAAGCCUCAUUUCUUUCAAGCUAAUGCAAGGAAACCUUGUUUGCUAUGUGCUAAAGGUACUGUGAAAAGGAAAAAAGGAGGUAAGAACUUCAUGCUCCACUGGGAUUUAACAUCAAACAAUGGCUGAACGUGCAGAGAGGAAAUAAUGUGGCUUUUUCCAGGCUGAACAAACAGUUCUGUCCCAGCUCUGCAGCUAUGCAGCACACCACAUUUCAGUGUGAGUAAACUGAAUUCUUGCAAACUACAAAAAUCUUGGAUCUUUAUAACAUGGACUGCCAUUAUAUUGGAAAUGUCAUCAGUUAAUUUAUUUCUCAUAAAUAAAAACAAUAAAUAUUUCAUAACUUA